UCGAGCGGUAGAGAGAAGCUUGCUUCUCUUGAGAGCGGCGGACGGGUGAGUAAUGCCUAGGAAUCUGCCUGGUAGUGGGGGAUAACGUUCGGAAACGGACGCUAAUACCGCAUACGUCCUACGGGAGAAAGCAGGGGACCUUCGGGCCUUGCGCUAUCAGAUGAGCCUAGGUCGGAUUAGCUAGUUGGUGAGGUAAUGGCUCACCAAGGCGACGAUCCGUAACUGGUCUGAGAGGAUGAUCAGUCACACUGGAACUGAGACACGGUCCAGACUCCUACGGGAGGCAGCAGUGGGGAAUAUUGGACAAUGGGCGAAAGCCUGAUCCAGCCAUGCCGCGUGUGUGAAGAAGGUCUUCGGAUUGUAAAGCACUUUAAGUUGGGAGGAAGGGCAGUUACCUAAUACGUGAUUGUUUUGACGUUACCGACAGAAUAAGCACCGGCUAACUCUGUGCCAGCAGCCGCGGUAAUACAGAGGGUGCAAGCGUUAAUCGGAAUUACUGGGCGUAAAGCGCGCGUAGGUGGUUUGUUAAGUUGGAUGUGAAAUCCCCGGGCUCAACCUGGGAACUGCAUUCAAAACUGACUGACUAGAGUAUGGUAGAGGGUGGUGGAAUUUCCUGUGUAGCGGUGAAAUGCGUAGAUAUAGGAAGGAACACCAGUGGCGAAGGCGACCACCUGGACUAAUACUGACACUGAGGUGCGAAAGCGUGGGGAGCAAACAGGAUUAGAUACCCUGGUAGUCCACGCCGUAAACGAUGUCAACUAGCCGUUGGGAGCCUUGAGCUUUUAGUGGCGCAGCUCACGCAUUAAGUUGACCGCCUGGGGAGUACGGCCGCAAGGUUAAAACUCAAAUGAAUUGACGGGGGGCCGCACAAGCGGUGGAGCAUGUGGU
rnacentral:rRNA from 1 species